AGUGAACGCUGGCGGCGUGCCUAAUACAUGCAAGUCGAACGGAGUGGCGCACGGGUGAGUAAUAUAUAGUUAAUCUGCCCUACACAGAGGAACAACAGUUGGAAACGACUGCUAAUACCUCAUAGUGUAGGAUGAGACUAUAUCGUAUCAGCUUGUUGGUAAGGUAAUGGCUUACCAAGGCUAUGACGCGUAACUGGUCAGAGAGGAUGAUCAGCCACCUCUGAACUGAGACACGGGCCAAACACCUAGGGCAGGCAGCAGGAAGGUAGAAUGCGCAAUGGGGGAGUGCCUGACGGAGCAACGCCGCGUGGAGGAUGACACUUUUCGGAGCGUAAACUCCUUUUAUCAGGAAAGCGGUACCUGAAGAAUAAGCACCGGCUAACUCCGUGCCAGCAGCCGCGGUAAUAC
rnacentral:rRNA from 1 species